rnacentral:tRNA from 4 species
GCGCCCAUCGUCUAGCGGUUAGGACGCCGCCCUCUCACGGCGGCAACACGGGUUCGAGUCCCGUUGGGCGUGCCA